rnacentral:sRNA from 1 species
CCACUACUAUGAUUUAUACUGUAACACUAUUGUCUCUCAUAAAUAAAUAUAAAACCAGAGACAUCUUGUUCAAGUUAUAUGCAACACAGUAACUAUUCUAAUUCAAUGGUAAAAUGCUAAAAAUCAAUCACACAGCCAUUGAUUGAGGUGUGGUUUUACAGUUGCAGGAUUUCUGCAACGAAGUCAUCAACCAAAGAAUCAAAUAUUUGGUCUUCAAUUACUGCACCAAGUUGAAAAGUAUCAACCUCAAAAUCUAGCCAUUGUCCAUAUUGGAUGCUCAUGUCCCUAUCUACCAGUUCAUCCACCAUUGAGUCCCUCAUAUCUCUCCAACUUGAAAUUUCCUUCCACACUUCCUUUGCCAACCAUUCAUUUCUUCUCACCAUUGCAACCCCUUUUGCCCACAUUUUGUAACCUCCACCAACAUAUCGCCUGCAUCUCAAGUCUAAGCACUCACUCACACAAUCAAAUAUAACUUUCCUUCUUAUUCUGCACUCACCACUAUCACUCUCAAACCUUCCCCUUCGAUUUUCCAACUGGUUGAACAGAUGAGGGUUCACGAUCUCACGAGCUCUGCCAAGAGAAAAGUCCAUGUACAUCAACUCCACAUUACACAAUAUAUCAUUUACAUACUCUAACUCCCAUGUGCUUGAUUGUCCAAUCUUCAUUUGGGAACAUGUACUUGAUUGUUUCCUUAGCAUGGUCCAAGCUGAUGCUGAAUCAAACAAGUCUCUAUAGCCACUUCCUGAGCCCACAACUUGCUUCCUGAAAGUAGAUACUGUCAGUAGUGAUCACGGCCAUAAGCAUGAUGCCACUUUUACCUCCAUUUUUGGUCUUCUGAACUGGAAGCAUUUGCGCUGAAUGGAGAUUCACAGCUUUCAGUGGAAAAAGAAGGGUCAAGAACAGAUAUUGGACUCGGCUGUCCUGAAUUGAAUAACCCUGCUUCCAUAGGAUUCAUCUCACACUCCUCCAUCUUAUCAAGCUGUAAAAUAUGUUGAGCUGAUUAACGUUCAAUGGUUAUCAUAAGGAAUAUUAUGCCUCCUACCAAAGUUACGCUGAUUCUACAAUACAAUGCUAUUGAUUCUUUCAAUUGUAUUGUGUUACUUUUUUUUGUAUUUUACUUUAACACCCCAAAUUCAGUUCCACAUUAACUGCAUAAAAAAUUGUCAUUUGUGAUUUGAAUUAACUAAAAAGGGACCAUAGCGAAACCCCGACGACCUUUUUCUUCUUGGGAAAUGGGGAAUUAACUUCCAAAUUUAACCAUAAUGUAAGCAAGCCUAACUUCUCAUAGUGUGGAAAUUUAACUAGAGUCUUGCCAUUAUGUACUCAUGAUAGGAAAAGGAUAAUAACAACAAAUGCUAAAAUAUUCUCACAUACCCGAAGCCUAUGCUGGGAUGAUAGUUCUGGAAGACAGGUGCGGCUACUGAAUAAUUUAUCUGUCGACAUUAUGUCUUGAUCUUUCUUCUGUUGCAACCCUGGAAAGAGGUUAACUGAAUAAAGGGUGGGUGACCCUGCAACUUUUGGUGCAGUGCUGUAGGGUGACCUUGCUUUGAGAGAGUCAUCACAAGAGUCCCCAAUUCCAUAUGUUAACUCCCUCAACUUCUGAUCCAAAAGAAUACCCAAGGCAUCACCACCAACUGCACUGUAUCCUACAGGAGACCCUGCAUUAUCAGUUUCAGUAUCAACCAACACUCUUCUAAUAUGCUGAUCCAAGGAAUUUAGGCCAGGUGUCUCAAAACCAGAAUUGCUUCUUGUCAAGGGCAUGGUAAAUGUGAAGGAAACUACAUCCAUGUCUUUCUUUUUUACUUCUUCAGCCUCACCAUGGCAUUUAUUACUAACUACAUUAGACUGAACAGGCUUCUGUGAUUUGUCGAUGAAUAAAUUAUCAACAACCCUAUCAUUCCAGUCCCUGUCUGUAGACCUCUUCUUCCUUGGGAAAUUGUUUGUACGAGUAUACAAGACUUCCUUUUCACUGUCUGAAACACUCGUUGAUGGUUUUUUGGGCCCAGCUUUAGAUUUUGCUACGGAUUUAUUACUAGAGCUUCUAUGACGUCCACUAGAAGAAUCCCCAGUGACAACUUUUCUACCUUGUGAAUUGGAAACCAAUGGCUUUGAUGGUAGUUUGUCUUUAUCCAUUGGACAAUUCUGUUUCUGAUUAUUCUGCCUGAGAACACUAGAAGCAUCUUGACCAGAGGAUUUCAUGUGCAAACCUUUUUGAACAUUCGCCUUCAGAGGCUUCUGGGAGUUUUUAGUGUCACAUUGCUCUCUCUGCUCCACUAAACUUUUUCCACUACUAAAACUCAAGCCUUCCCUUCUUUGAACAUUCACUUUUGCUUGGAUUGCAAGUGAUAUAGACUUCCCUUUAUUUUUUGAAUAACAAUCUUCUUCUACUUGAGUAGAUGAUCUGAUAGGUGUAUCCACAACUCCGUUCCAACUUUUGUUCAAAGAUUGUCCGUUUAGAUAUUUGGCAUCAUUAGACUCAGACAACCUAUGAGAAGUUUCAGAAAGCCUACUAGUUCUUAGAGAGGUUUCUCUUUUUCCUUUUGUAUCUCUAACUCUAGAGGUCUCUGAAGAUGAACUAAUUAGUUGUCCCUUUUGUGAAGCCUCUUUUUCUUUAAGGUCUCUGACCCUCAAUGAUACUGUUGAUGAUGUUACCAGAGGUGCUUUAGCCUUUGUAGCAGCUUGGCGUCCAGGUUCAAUAAUUCUUGCUGCAGCUUCCAUUAUGUAUGUAGCAUUAUUUGAUGGAACAAAGCCAGGAUUCUUAAUUGGGGACAAAAGUUUAUGGUGAGUAAGGGGAAUAGAUUUAGCUGAUUUGGGAGGCAUUACUUCUGUUUGAAACUUUUCAAUCGGCCUGCUACGGGUCUGUAGAGGCUUCUCCAUGAAGUUCCUAGAGGUUCCCUCAGCUUUUUCAACCAACUUUCCAGAAUAUAGAAUCUGAUGAUCAUGAAGAUGAUUGAGAUUUUUCCUCCAGUACUGCACAUCUUGAAUGCAUUGGCUGUCAAAAUAUGGGGUAGAAUAUGGAUCAGAAAAACUAGAAAACGGCAUUGAAUCCAAUCCCAUAAGCCUGGCAACUACACCAGGGGCCCUUGUUCCACAUACUUCAGAAUCUAUAACAGAAGUAGCACAGCUAUGAUCACCACUAUCUCUAAUACUUCCCCCUAUUCCAAUUUCAUCAUCUUCGUCCACCUGAAAGGAUUAAACAAGUAACAGCUAAAACUUCAUCACAAAUUAUAUAAAAUAAUAUUUUGGAGCACAGUAUAUAGUGAUACCAGAUAGGGAAGCAUAGUUGCCAAGUUGCCAUCAACUUUUCUUCUUUGUUUCAAGGACUCUGCCAAUUGUGAAGAAAAAAGAGACCAAAAGCAAAACACAAUCAGUUAUAG